CAGCAGCCACGGGAAUACAGAGGGUGCAAGCGUUAAUCGGAAUUACUGGGCGUAAAGCGCGCGUAGGUGUUUUGUUAAGUUGGAUGUGAAAUCCCCGGGCUCAACCUGGGAACUGCAUCCAAAACUGGCAAGCUAGAGUAUGGUAGAGGGUGGUGGAAUUUCCUGUGUAGCGGUGAAAUGCGUAGAUAUAGGAAGGAACACCAGUGGCGAAGGCGACCACCUGGACUGAUACUGACACUGAGGUGCGAAAGCGUGGGGAGCAAACAGGAUUAGAGACCCCUGUAGUCCCUGUCUCUUAUAC
rnacentral:rRNA from 1 species